rnacentral:lncRNA from 1 species
GAAAUGCUGAAAAUUAAAAAAUAUUGUAGAUAACAAAAGAAUAUUUGCAAAUUUGUUAAAAUAAAUUAAAAUAUAUGUUAAUUAUUCAUUAUUUUUUUUUUUUAAUUUUGCCAAAAUUUAGGAGAAAAUUGCAAAAAAUGAAAUGUAAGUCAGUGGUGUAUCCAUAGAUGGGCAAGAGAGUGGUCUGCCCUGAAAGCAAACUGAAGUAGGGGCCAAGAGCAUGGAAUAUUACUACUAUUCACCAGAUAUUUGUAUAAAAAUUUUUAAGAUCAUUUCAGUUCUUAAAAAUUAUUUAAGAAAAUGUGUGUUGAAAAAUAAAAUGUUUUUUGGAAGGGAGAGGGGACCAAAAAAAUGCUGCCCAGGUACCAAAGAUUCUGUGUACACUACUGCAAAUAUCUUUAGGCCAUUUAAAAGGGCAUGGCAUUUUUAUUGCUUUAUAGCAGCCACUUGCUUCCCAGGAAAUUGCAGCCAAACCUAC